rnacentral:lncRNA from 1 species
AAACUUUCCCAAAGUCACACAGCUAGUAAUUAGUAGUAACAUCUGGAUUCAAACCCAGACCCGGAGACUUUAAACCCUCCCCAAGGGGGGGAGGAGCGGUCCCUCCCUUCCUGCUCCAGCCCCGCCUCCCCACGGGCUGCCUUUCCCUUUGGUGGGAGGAGGGGGCACACUUCCAGUGGCCGCUGUGGCUCUCUAGCACCCCCUAGAGGCAGAAGGUGGGCAUCUCUCCUAUCCCGGGCUUUUCUCAGACAGAUAAUUCUGGAAUUGCCUCCCAACUUGCAUCUACACUUACCUCCCUGGCUAAGAGGUCAAAGACGACAACCUAUUAGUCCUUAUCCAGUGGCUUAAACUCUCAGAAUUAGCACUAACUUUGUCUGAACAUUAUAUAAAUCUGCGUCCUGGUCAGAAGUAGGACUGUUAGCACGCAACCCUCGUACCUCCCAAGAGAAUUCCACCGUGCCCAGACCUGCAUCACCCAAGAGAAUGGUCCACAGUUGCAAGAAGAUUAUGCUUACAAUUCUGAUAUGUUGUGAGGUGUAUUUAUGUUCAGGCCAGACUCUGAUAUGUCAUAACUGCAACGACAGUGAGGAUUGUACCCACCAAGAAACCUGUGCAGAAAAUGAAAAUGUCUGUAUCUUGGAGAUAAUAAAAAUGCCAAACCAUACUGAAGUUCUUAAGAAAUGUUUCACAAAUUGUGAAGACUUCUUUGAGGAAGAGACCUUUGAGAAGGAAGACACCAGUACUACAAAUGUACCCAUCAACUCAAGCACAGUCAGAAAGGUACUACAAAUGACUGAUAAAAAAAACUUCCUGUUCAGACAAAAGACCUCCAUGGAACAUUCCAUUCUGUGCUGUGAUAGUGACCUGUGUAACCAGGCCAGAGUCCGGGGCCCAGGAGAUACACAUCUCGUCUUUGGGUUUCUACUCAGCUUUGUGUGGCUUAUCCACUGUUCAGUUCUGUGACACCUCUGCCUACACCCUUCCAAAGACAGUUUUCUAAGGUAAAAAUUUAAAAGCGCAUUCAUGGUCAUUAAAGUAAGAUUAAUUAACGUAAUGUGAAAUGGUCUCUAUUCUAUUUUCCGAAUGAAUUUUCAGGUUCUAGAAGGUUAAUCAGAGGAGUUCCUGCUCAAUUUGCUGAGCUGAGAAGGAGGUGAUCCUCUCUUUGGAAUUCUGUAACUCAUCCAUUGAGGUUGAAUUGGUUGACUCAAUCACUUUGAUCAUUGGCACAGAGACCCUUCUGUCCCCUCACCCCCCAGGAACUGACUAACCAGCCAUACUGCUAUCAGCCCCAGAGGUGAUAAACUGUUAUGUCUGAACUAUGGUAAAGUACUCAGAGUUCCUGGAAACUUAGCUCCUGUUCUGAGUACCUGAGCACAGCCCUAAAAGUCAGUGUCAGGGGCAUGGGGCAGUCAUGCCUUGUGGUUACCUUUCUAAGAAACUCAUGGUUAAUGGUUUUUAUUUUUUAUGCAUAUUAGUCAUUUUGUACAAGAAGACUUAAAUAAAAGAAAAAAAUGAAGGUG